rnacentral:rRNA from 1 species
AUUGAACGCUGGCGGCAUGCCUUACACAUGCAAGUCGAACGGUAACAGGUCUUCGGAUGCUGACGAGUGGCGAACGGGUGAGUAAUACAUCGGAACGUGCCCGAGAGGGGGGGAUAACGAGGCGAAAGCUUUGCUAAUACCGCAUACGAUCUCAGGAUGAAAGCAGGGGACCGCAAGGCCUUGCGCUCACGGAGCGGCCGAUGGCAGAUUAGGUAGUUGGUGGGAUAAAAGCUUACCAAGCCGACGAUCUGUAGCUGGUCUGAGAGGACGACCAGCCACACUGGGACAGAGACACGGCCCAGACUCCUACGGGAGGCAGCAGUGGGGAAUUUUGGACAAUGGGCGCAAGCCUGAUCCAGCCAUGCCGCGUGCAGGAUGAAGGCCUUCGGGUUGUAAACUGCUUUUGUACGGAACGAAAAGACUCCUUCUAAUAAAGGGGGUCCAUGACGGUACCGUAAGAAUAAGCACCGGCUAACUACGUGCCAGCCGCCGCCGUAACAC